AAAAUUAUUUCUGUCUGUUUCGGACAAGGGAAGUAAGAUGUACUCAUGAAUCUAUUCUUUGAUUUUAUCUUUGUAAUCACGGCAGAAGUAACCGCUCAUUACAUCUGCAAAUGGUUUGAUUGUAGAAUUGCCAAAAAAAGACAGUAAACCUACCCGUUAAUUCCUAUUGAAACGUAAAAGAAAACCACUAGCCCGCCAGCUAGUGGUUUUUGGUCGUAAU
rnacentral:sRNA from 1 species